AUCCAGAGAAUUUAGCAGAGAUGCUUUAGUGCCUUCGGGAACUCUGAGACAGGUGCUGCAUGGCUGUCGUCAGCUCGUGUUGUGAAAUGUUGGGUUAAGUCCCGNAACGAGCGCAACCCUUAUCCUUUGUUGCCAGCACGUAAUGGUGGGAACUCAAAGGAGACUGCCGGUGAUAAACCGGAGGAAGGUGGGGAUGACGUCAAGUCAUCAUGGCCCUUACGAGUAGGGCUACACACGUGCUACAAUGGCGCAUACAAAGAGAAGCGACCUCGCGAGAGCAAGCGGACCUCAUAAAGUGCGUCGUAGUCCGGAUUGGAGUCUGCAACUCGACUCCAUGGAAGUCGGAAUCGCUAGUAAUCGUAAAUCAGAAUGUUACGGUGAAUACGUUCCCGGGCCUUGUACACACCGCCCGUCACACCAUGGGAGUGGGUUGCAAAAGAAGUAGAUAGCUUAACCUUCGGGAGGGCGUUUACCACUUUGUGAUUCAUGACUGGGGUGAAGUCGUAACAAGGUAGGCGUAGUGCU
rnacentral:rRNA from 1 species